CCUACGGGAGGCAGCAGUGGGGAAUUUUGGACAAUGGGCGCAAGCCUGAUCCAGCAAUGCCGCGUGCAGGAUGAAGGCCUUCGGGUUGUAAACUGCUUUUGUACGGAACGAAACGGUGAGCUCUAAUACAGUUUGCUAAUGACGGUACCGUAAGAAUAAGCACCGGCUAACUACGUGCCAGCAGCCGCGGUAAUACGUAGGGUGCGAGCGUUAAUCGGAAUUACUGGGCGUAAAGCGUGCGCAGGCGGUGAUGUAAGACAGAUGUGAAAUGCCCGGGCUCAACCUGGGACCUGCAUUUGUGACUGCAUCGCUAGAGUACGGUAGAGGGGGAUGGAAUUCCGCGUGUAGCAGUGAAAUGCGUAGAUAUGCGGAGGAGCACCGAUGGCGAAGGCAAUCCCCUGGACCUGUACUGACGCUCAUGCACGAAAGCGUGGGGAGCAAACAGGAUUAGAUACCCUGGUAGUCCACGCCCUAAACGAUGUCAACUGGUUGUUGGGUCUUCACUGACUCAGUAACGAAGCUAACGCGUGAAGUUGACCGCCUGGGGAAGUCGGCCGCAAGGUUGAAACCGUNAAGAGAGUUAGNGNGNGAGAGCGACGACGGCGACGACGGAGGGAGGAGG
rnacentral:rRNA from 1 species